UCAGCUGUCAUGAUGCCUUCUUGAAGCUCUACAAAGAAGACGUGAUGGCAUCUGGCC
rnacentral:pre_miRNA from 1 species